GACAGUUUGGCCGAGUGGUUAAGGCGCUUGCCUGCUAAGCAAGUGUGCUCCGCACGCGUGGGUUCGAAUCCCACAGCUGUCG
rfam:Giardia lamblia ATCC 50803 SC_592 genomic scaffold, whole genome shotgun sequence.